rnacentral:rRNA from 1 species
GACGAACGCUGGCGGCGUGCUUAACACAUGCAAGUCGAACGGAAAGGCCCUGCUUUUGUGGGGUGCUCGAGUGGCGAACGGGUGAGUAACACGUGAGUAACCUGCCCUUGACUUUGGGAUAACUUCAGGAAACUGGGGCUAAUACCGUAUAGGAGCUCCUGCUGCAUGGUGGGGGUUGGAAAGUUUCGGCGGUUGGGGAUGGACUCGCGGCUUAUCAGCUUGUUGGUGGGGUAGUGGCUUACCAAGGCUUUGACGGGUAGCCGGCCUGAGAGGGUGACCGGCCACAUUGGGACUGAGAUACGGCCCAGACACCUACGGGAGGCAGCAGUGGGGAAUAUUGCACAAUGGGCGGAAGCCUGAUGCAGCAACGCCGCGUGCGGGAUGACGGCCUUCGGGUUGUAAACCGCUUUCGCCUGUGACGAAGCGUGAGUGACGGUAAUGGGUAAAGAAGCACCGGCUAACUACGUG